rnacentral:rRNA from 1 species
UACGGAGGGUGCGAGCGUUGUCCGGAAUCACUGGGCGUAAAGGGCGCGUAGGCGGCUUUUUAAGGGUGCGGUGAAAGCCCGGGGCUUAACCCCGGGUCGGCCGUGCCGACUGAAAAGCUGGAGCACUGUAGAGGCAGGUGGAAUUCCGGGUGUAGCGGUGGAAUGCGUAGAGAUCCGGAAGAACACCAGUGGCGAAGGCGGUUGCCUGGAGCUUUGCUGACGCUGAGGCGCGAAAGCGUGGGGAGCGAUCCGG